AAGAUGAAUAGUGCAUUUUGUUGGGUGCGGGCUUUGCUAUAUUAAAAGCGUAGCGUAGUUUUGGUUUA
rnacentral:tRNA from 1 species